CACGUAGGGCGCAAGCGUUGUCCGGAAUUAUUGGGCGUAAAGAGCUCGUAGGCGGUCUGUUGCGUCCGCUGUGAAAACUCGGGGCUUAACCCCGAGCCUGCAGUGGAUACGGGCAGACUAGAGGUAGGUAGGGGAGAAUGGAAUUCCCGGUGUAGUGGUGAAAUGCGUAGAUAUCGGGAGGAACACCAGUGGCGAAGGCGGCUCACUGGCCCGGUACUGACGCUGAGGUGCGAAAGCGUGGGUAGCAAACAGG
rnacentral:rRNA from 1 species